rnacentral:lncRNA from 1 species
AAAAUGUAUAACUGCCCUGCCGAUGCCAUGCACAGGAUGCGUGCUCUUGCGCCCAGAGAAAGAGAGAAUGCCAAGGCCGCCUGUCUUGCAGACGGACAGAGGGAGAGCCAGGGCUCAACAUGGCUCAGGCGUGCUGGUGCCCAAAGAGAGAGUAACGCUACUGACCCCUGUAGGGGAGAGCCAGUUGCCUUGAAGGGACUUUGGCUAAAAAAAUAAACUGUCAAAGGAACUGGCAUUUGCUGACUGGACUACAGCACAUCUCGAAGAAUCUGCAGACUGAAACCUUCAAGGCAUUCAUGAAAUGGUCUUCCCUUAGUUCCCCUGCCUUUUCCACUCUUUCUGCCAUUUGGAUUUCACACUGGAAGUUCAAGAGAUGACAUCAGAAAACAGAAAAGCCAGUGGGAAAGGCAAGGUAUAAAGAACUUUCAGGGAAUACUCACAUCAUAAAUUCGGUCAGUGGUGUUCAAAGCAAAUUCUGCUGUUUCAUUGGCUUCACUAACAUAAUUAACAAUAUUUUCAUAGACAUUUGAUGCAUCCAAAGCCUUCUGUACCAGCCCGUUCAUAUCUGAACUGUGCAACUUCCUGUUAAUAAACAAACAUUGUUAUUUCUCCUUCUUACCUUCUUGGGGAAUGGGGCCAUGUUUAAUGCUUGCUUUUUAAAUACUUCUAGGAUCACAGAUGCUUCCUUCCUGUUAUUCAAAGUCACCUAGUGUGGCAAGGUUUUCUUGAGGGUCACACCUCCUCUGCAUUCUUCUGUCUUUGCUGAACAGCAUUUUGGUUCUCUGACAGCUGCCUGUCUGGCAGUAGCAGCAGGAAAAGGGAAUGACGAUUUAAAAACAGCCCUCUGCACUUCUUCUUGCAGGAGUUUGUUUAUGUGAUGGAAGUCAGGCAGAGGAAUGAACCAUUAUGAUGACUACCUAGUGCUUAUCCAAAUCAGCAUUGUUAUUUCCUUUCUGUAGAGGAAGCCAAGGCUCUAGGAGAGUAUGCAGAGCUUGGCCAGGGCACGUAUUGUCAAGGUUUGUUUCACUCCUGAGGCCUGGCUGCAUCCUGGGCCUCAGGAGUGAGACAGCCCCAGCCCUUCCUCAGCACACAGCCCCACCUCAGCCCACCCUCACCCCUGCCCUUUCACACGAUAGUCUCUGCCUUUGCCCCUCUCUGGCCUGUGUAAGGUUCAUCCAACAUUUACUGAGUACCCAUCACACAGGGUACUUGCACACUUGCACACAGGGGCUAAUAAUGUGAGAUAUAACAGGAAUAAAAUAUAGAAAUGCUUGGUAUACCAUGCCUGGCAUCUGCUAAUCGUCAGGGUUUAUUAUUAUACCUACACCAUUUCCUGAAUUGGGAUUUUAAAACUCUAUGUGUACCCGCAUAAUUUAUUUUAUUGACAAAUACUUCUACUGCCUCUGUAAUAUAAACUCUAACCUCCACUUCCGCAGUUCGUCUAAAUCCUUUGUCUUAAUUUUAUUCAGUCUUAAAUCCACCAAUUCCUUAUUUUUUUUUCUCAGUCCCAAACAUCGAUGAUUAGUAUCAUCACCUCAUUUGUCAGUAACUUCCAGAAGGUCCUCCGUGACCCAGUAUAUGACAUUGCAGAUCCCACACUGGCUCCUGUCUUCAAACCGCCUGACCUGUUGAGCUCGGUAAUUGUUCCUCAAUCUCCAGCAUCCAGUUCCAGUCCCUGUGUGCUCCCUUAGAGGGACUUUCUCUAUAUUUCUUUGGCUACUUCCCUCUCUGUUAACCAAGUCUAUAAUCAUUCUACCCCCUCUACAAAAGGGCUGACUCAUCCAUUAGGCACAGCGUUUUCAUUUUUUUUUCAAUCAGAAGGAAAAAAUGAGGAUAACAAUAAUAAUGGUAUUAAUCUUUAUACCAAUGCAGACAUGAAAUAAAGGUUUUACUUUUUCUAUGGAGAAAGGAACCCACCAAGGCAAAAGUGUCUAGGGCCUAUAGAAGUCAUGGGGCUCUGCUCUACAGAGGGGAGUCUAAUCUAAAUACUCACUACCUGUUCCUCCCCACAACCCCUUCUGAGAAAAUGGCCUCAGAUAGCAAAAUCUGGGGAAGGCAGACAAGAAAACAUUUUUUAAAAAAGGGACAAAAGAAACAAAAUGUUACAAAUAUUUAUUAAUAUUUUAAAAUUUUGCUGGCGAGAGUGGUAAGAUGUACCAAAGAUCAUGAAACAAAGCCUUUAUUACUUUGCUUUUAAUACUAGGCACAGAACAAGUACUAACUCAGUAUUCAAAUUAAACAUGUGCUAUUGAAAUGGAAGCUUCUUAAUGAAUUUUGUUUAUCUUUGUUCGAGCAUAGCACGUAAAUCAUUGUGUACACCAGACAGAUAUGGAAGGAUACUCACCUUUUGAAUGAAGAUGUCUCUAAGUUGAAAUGCUUUCAUGAAUAUAUAGUCAGAAAUAUUCUAAAUACAAAAGGACUUGAGGGUGAUUGAUAUUUUGGAUCAUGUUUCACGUAAAGCAUGUAGUAACUGUCUUAGAAUCAUGCUGGAACACUGUUUGUUGCAGAGUGGCAUUAUACACAGAAGUUAUAUUUUGGAAUCCCAAUGAAUGGGAUGUAGGUACAAAAUGACAAAAGAAUAAUGAAGAGAGCCAUAAGAUGGAUCUCAAAAACAACAUUCUGCUAAUAUAGUAUAUUAUCAAAAUAGUGUUUUUUCUAAGCUCCAUUUUAUUGCCUUCAUCAAAAGCUCAUGUUUCUAGGGCCAUGAUACCGAGUGGGAUAUGGCACUGUCUCACCCACUGACACACCAAGAUUUUAUAUGACCUCUCUCUUUCUUUUCUUCUCUCUUCGUAGGAGAUUUGGAAGAGUGUUUGAAAAUUUUGGCAAUCAAGAAUAAGAAGGUGAUUUAUAUUUUGAACAGAAGUUAAUAUUGGUUCUUAUUUUAUUAAUGACCUUUACUGGUCCUUUUUUCCUAGUCUUUCUCUAUAAUGAUCUCAUUAUUUGCCUAUUAUUUCAGGGUCAUGAAUUCAAUUCUGAUCUUUCAGUACUUUUCAGUUAACAUUAAUUGAGUGUCCAAGAGGUGUGUGAUUCUAUUCUAGGUGCUGGGAGGAAAAUUGCCAAUUGAUUUUCUCUUAACAGGUGUUGAAAUCAAAUAGUUCCUGCUGGGCACUGUGGAGUAUUUAUCAGAAGUCAGUUAUAUUGCCAAUUCCCGACCAGUUUUACUUAAGACACUUGGGUGUGGAAAGAUAAUGCUGUCUAUGAAAUAAAUAGGUAAUGUUAGAAUUAGACCUUCUAAAGGGAUCUGAUUUAUUUGACAAUGUUUUAUACAUUGUCUUUGGUCAUCCUACUAAAAAUUGUGGAACAGACACCCCCCUCUUCCCGGAACACAGACCUUUAAUAUGACAGAUUUUUUUUAAAUAAAAAAGACCAGCUCCCCCAAACAAUUGCAAUGAACAAUGAUGGACUCUCAGAUGGAACAACCAACCAACCAACCAACCAACCAAGCAACCAAGGAACCAACCAACCAACCAACAUAUCAACACAUAAGCAUACCCAACCUUAAUCAACCUGGUAAAAUUGUAUCCCAGUAGUUCUGACAUAUGGAAUUGAAUAGUAAUAUUUUAUUCACCCCAUGUAGAUAUUUGCAUUUCUAAAACCAGGAUAUUACCUGCUCAAUUCAUUAGCUUCUUGUUGAAGGUCCUGUGCAUGGUCAAUAGCUUCUUGGACUAAAUCAUGGCUGAGGUUACUUAGGUUAGAUAGUUUUACUUGUAGUUCACUUUUGGCUCCAUCUAUUUCUGCAUAAAUCCCUGACGCAUUCUAAAGAAAAAAAUUUUAAUAAAUACAUUGAAUUUAGAAGAACUUAAAACAUUUUUCCUAGGCACCAAAAGAUAAUCUCUGUUCUUUCUUAUUAUGAAGGUCAGUAAAUUUCAGUGCAGGACCACAUAAGUCUAAAAUACUGUAAGUAUAUGUCUAUUUAUCCCGCAUUGCCAGCUCUUUCUUCUGUAUUGAUUGCUUCCCUAGCUAGCAUUCACAACCCAGAAAUGCUCUACCAUUUCAGACCUAAAAACUAAAACUAAACU